rnacentral:lncRNA from 1 species
UAUUAGAACCCCUUUUUGGCCAAUUUUAAAAUUUUGGCACUGCGGCUCUGUUGUGCUCCAGCGACGGUGCUGCCGCGAGCGGCGGCAGUCUGCCUCGGGUUGGCUAUUUUUGACUAUUUUCAGCCAAAUUUGACCGGUUUUGCAUAAAUCCCUGCGAAAAAAUACAUUAAAGGGCCUAGGUUGGCAAAUAAAAAAUAAAAAAUCGAAACUCACCGGAGAGGGAGUUAGUGCGGCAGCUCCGUCGGUUCACUUUUUGCGGUUGGGUGUUUUGCUUCGGUCAACCUAUAGAGAAGGAAACGGUGAUUACAACGGUGAAAAAAAUUCAUAGAAUGGGAAUCGGGAA